UUGAUUUAGUAAAGUUUGAAUCUUUUUGCUCCACUGUUGUAUUGUUUUUUUUUUUUCAAGAAACUUUUAAUUCCAGCAGACUGAUUAUUUAUGGUUAUGGGUUUUUCCUAGCCUUGUGUUUGGUUCCGACUGUGAGUGAAAUAGAGAAAAUGCAAUGAUGGGUCUUAUGUUUCUUAUCAUUUUGGAUGAUAUGUUGAAAGGAAAAUUCUUAACUAUCUACAAGGAUUUUGAUUCUUUGAGGGUGAUAUGAGACGGAAAAAGAAAAGGAAACAAACAUUUGUAGUCAAAUCCUGUAUUCAAUGGUGAAGGUAAUGAAAUCAUUUAAUGGCAUUUACUGUUGAUUUCUCAUUAAAGGGAAUCUGUGUUGUAAGUUAUAAGUCCCCUUUUGUAGGAAGCCAGUGAUACUCACCAUUUAUUUAUUUCUGUUAUUAUUAUGGCAUUGGGCUGGCGUUUGGCAAUACAAGUCUGGUGGUUGUUUUGAACAAUGAAUGGGUAAUAAACGAAGAAUUUAGCUUUUUUGUUCUCGUGGGAAUUUUAUUUGAAAUUUGUAUUGCAAAGCACUUUGCUUUUUGGCCGAUCUUGGAUCUUGCAUGUCUCUUCUUUCUCUGUUUUUUAAAGAUUCCUUAUAGAAGUUCUUUAAGUUCUUUCUUAUUGUAAAGUUUUCUACCAAUAAGGUAGGUUAGGAUGCUGUAAGAGACACGACACUAAAGUUGCUGAAUGGAGGAACAUGUUGUGUUGUUUUCUUUCCAUAAGAGGCACCUACAGCAGCCUAAGAAUGGGAUAUCUGUGAAAAUUGAAGCUUGAACAAACCCUGUUAGUGUUUUUCACCAUGUCAAGGCAAUCUCUCCUCCCUCCUCGCUGCCCAUUCCAGAAGCCCCUGGUUUCUCGACCAAUUCAUGACUCCUACCCGCAACACCAUAGAUCUCCCUCCCAAGGUUCAAUUUUGGGGGAGAAGCCGGCAUGGCUUGAUGAUUUGUUAAGUGAUGAAGAUGCAGAUUCCAGCGGGACUUGUCUUCGCCGGUCAGCCAGUGAUUCAGUCACCCUCUUGGAAGGUAUUGUGAAUUCGUUUUCGGGUUUUAGUCCUUAUAACAAUGAAGCUGCCUCAGUUGGGGGUGAAACUUGUAGUGGGCUGGAGUCAGCUUCUAUGUAUGGUCCUAAUUCUCCUAGGCGAAGAGGGAAUGUGACCUUUUCUGAGAAUGCCAUAGCUUCCGCACUAUCGGAGUAUGCGUUUCAGAAUCCUCUGCAGUAUGUAGACGGUAGCUUGUGCAUUUGGGGGAAUACUCCCUUGGAAUCAAUGGGGAAUGCAUGUGGUUCGGCUGGGGAGCUCAAUGGCGAGACGAGCACUGUGAAACGGCAAUCUGGGCAGCGCUCAAGAGUUCGCAAACUCCAGUAUAUUGCUGAGCUCGAAAGAACUGUUAAUGUUCUGCAGACUUUGGAGUCAGACUUGGCGUUCAAGGUUGCCUCAAUGCUUCAGAAACGUGCUGCCUUGUCCCUGGAAAACAACACAUUAAAGCAGCAGUUGGCCAGACUGCGGCAGGAAAAAUUAAUCGUGGAUGCUCAACACAAGACUUUGAAGAAGGAAGCUGAGAGAUUGAAAAACAAGUUAGGUAGUUCCACAAAUAAUAAGUUCAGAACAUAUUCCAGAUCAAGUCUUUCUCCAGAGGAAGCUAGAUCAGAAGUUACAUGGCAGAUGGCGAGGCAUAAUCUUAACUAAUAGACAAGGACCUUACCCAUGCUUUCGACAAUACAUCCCUGUGGUUUUCUACUCACCAGUCUGCCAUUUUGUGAAAAAAGAAAGCGGCCUUCCCGUAUCAUGACAUAUAUUGGCAUCGGGUUGGAUGGGUGCUGCUACCAAUCAUUAGAAUGCUCAGCUUUUGGAAAGCAAUGGAUUUAAAGCGGCAUUUAGAUGUGUUAUGCUUUUUCACCGCCUCGUUGAUGCUGGCUGGUGUAGCUGAGGCUCAUUCCUUCUGGACACUGUUAUUAAAUCCAUCGUAGCUUUGACAGAUCGAUCCUUUUCAAACUGGUGAAGGAUAUAGUGUUGUAGACACUGGACAAGAUGACCACGAAAGAAAAACCUGGAGCCAGAAGUUCGUGACUCGGUAUACUUACUCCAAUUAGGGUGUAUGCAUUUAGAUUGAUCAUUGCUUUCUAUUGCCCGGCAAAACCAAGGAUAGAUUUUUAGAAUCAGGAAACAACAAAAGCAGCCAUUGUUGGGGAUUAGUAAAAGCAAUUCUUGAAUUUUCUCAAGUCAAACAUGUAUAUCUGCUAUCCAUAUUAGAAUGCACAAAUGAACCAAGGGGAAGAAAGGUUUAACUUAAUUUA